UUGAAAAGAAGCACUGCAUUCCACCAGGAUGUCUAUGAAAUGGAUUUCAGUUCUGCUGCUGCUACAGCUGAGCUGUUACUUCAGCUCUGGGGGUGGUGGAAAGGUGCUGGUGUGGCCCACAGAAUACAGCCACUGGAUCAAUAUAAAGACAAUCCUGGAUGAACUUGUCCAAAGAGGUCACGAAGUGACGGUUCUGACAUCGUCAGCUUCCAUUCUUGUUGAUCCGAGCAAAUCAUCUGCUAUUAAAUAUGAGGUUUAUCCUGCACAUUUACUUGGAAAUGAUUUGGAGGAUCUUUUCGGAAAACUGCUCGACACAUGGAUAUAUGACUUGCCAAGAGAUACAUUUUGGGCAUAUUUUUCAAAAAUGCAAGAAAUAUUCUGGGAAUAUUCUGACUGUAUUCAAAAGUUCUGUANGAUGUGGGAAUUUUCUGACUGUAUUCAAAAGCUCUGUAAAGAUGUAGUUUUGAACAGGAAACUCAUGACAAAACUACAAGAAUCAAGGUUUGAUGUCGUUCUUGCAGAUGCUAUUGGACCCUGUGGUGAGCUGCUGGCAGAGCUACUUAAAAUACCUUUAGUGUACAGUCUCCGCUUCUCUCCUGGCUAUGCAUUUGAAAAGUAUAGUGGAGGGCUUCCAUUCCCUCCGUCCUACGUGCCUGUUAUUUUGUCAGAAUUAAGUGAUCAAAUGACAUUCAUGCAGAGAGUAAAAAAUAUGAUAUAUGUGCUUUAUUUUGACUUUUGGUUCCAAACAUUUAAUGAGAAGAGUUGGGAUCGGUUUUACAGNCUGGGAUCAGUUUUACAGCGAAGUACUAGGAAGACCCACUACAUUCUCUAAGUUAAUGGGGAAGGCCCAAAUAUGGCUCAUUCGAACCUACUGGGAUUUUGAAUUUCCUCACCCACUCCUACCCAAUUUUGAAUUUGUUGGAGGACUCCACUGCAAACCUGCCAAACCCCUGCCUAAGGAAAUGGAAGAGUUUGUCCAGAGCUCUGGAGAAAACGGUAUUGUGGUGUUUACUCUAGGGUCGAUGAUCCAUACCAUGCCAGAGGAAAGAGCCAAUACGAUUGCAUCAGCCCUUGCCCAGAUUCCACAAAAGGUUCUAUGGAGAUUUGAUGGCAAGAAACCAGACACCUUAGGGUCAAAUACUCGGCUGUAUAAGUGGAUCCCCCAGAAUGACCUUCUUGGUCAUCCAAAAACCAAAGCCUUCGUAACUCAUGGUGGAACCAAUGGCAUCUAUGAGGCGAUCCACCACGGGAUCCCCAUGGUGGGCAUUCCUUUGUUUGCGGAUCAACCUGAUAACAUUGCUCACAUGAAGGCCAAAGGAGCAGCUGUCAGUGUGGAUUUCCACACGAUGUCUAGUACAGAUUUGCUCAAUGCUGUGAGGAUGGUCAUUAAUGACACUUCACAUCUAGGAGUAGAAUUGCUGGUCAUAUGUUAACUCUGUGAGGAACUG